GUUGGGAAGUGCUGGGACGGAGGGUUUAGGGUUAGGGUAGAGCUGAGGUCGCGCGGCGGUGGAGAAUAGGGCGGGGCGGCCGCGAGGCGGAGGGCAGCGGCGUGCGGCAGCGGGGAGGGAGCGGCGUGGCGGCCUGGCGGAUGGCAGUAGCGCCCGACGGUACCGGAUGGGACGGCGACGCGGAUGGGCAAAGAGGCGACGGCCCGCCGACGUCCUCCACCGGCCGCAGCGGGGCAGUAGUUUAGGGGAUCGGCGAGCUAGAGUAGGCGGCGUACGACCGACGGGUAUGUCCUAACUGCGUGGGAUAUAGGCCGCUGGGCACCGAUGAGGAGGGUCGGGGCCUAGACGAGAAGGCGGUGGACGCUGGGUGCCGAAGUUACUAGGUGCUGUUCCCUACUACUGGUUGAGCCGACGGGGGGAAGGGGCACGUCGACGGAGACUCCGACGUCGUCGGAAGCGUACUCCGGUGAUGCCGCGGUGGAUACGACAGGAUUUCAAGGCAGUCUAAGCAGUUAAAGUCAAAGUAGUCAAAAACAGUCUAAUUCAAAGUAGUCUAAGUCUUUUAAGUCAAAGCAGUUUCAAAAUCAACAAUCAAUUAAAGAGCGCGUGCAACCGCGAGCCGCGAGCUGCAGCAGGUGAAGGAGUGUAUUGAGCUCGGGUUCACGCACGUCCAAUGUGGUCGGAAACUAAAUAUAUAGAUGGCAGGUGACUAGUCACUGUACUUUUCCAACCCGCGAGACUCGAUCUUGUAUUCGGCUAACUACUCUACUUAAUUUUACGAAGACUAACCAAUCUGGGAGUUAUAAGGUUUGACUUCAGGUUCCUUCUUCCUAGUCCUUAUCGUCUAAAGGUUACCUGCGACCACAACAACCGACUGUAGAGACCCCGACAUGUAGUACUACCAAUGGUUCUGUGCUGUUACUAGAUUUACGAGGUCUGGACUUACUUUAUGGUACUGAUGUCCGGCAACGACUAAACGCAAGCUUCUCCACGUCGUUGGUCUCUCUUCGUUGACUCCAUUGCGGUUAACUUUUUUUUAUGUACUACGUGACUACCUAAUAGUACAUAUAUUACGGACAAUAACCUUUCUCACUACAAAACGAGACUUGAACAGCCACAUUUAAAAACCGUAAAAGGUAAAGAGAAGUCACGUGACUUCUUAUCACUUUAGAACCGUAGGCUAAGGAAAACGUCCGGUACGAAAAUUGAGUUGGUUUAGACGUAACAAUCAACGAGAAUAUCAGACAAACAUCGAUUAACCCCCUGUUUGUACCCGUUACUCGUCGAAUAAAACUACUGUCACGUUAGUUCCUGCGUGUACAAGUGACUACUUAGAUGGAGAUAAAACAUGACACAUAUAUGUACUUUUAUCAUCGUAGCAGAAACGUACCAAGAAAAGACUUAGUCGUUGUGAAAUACUCCCAGAAGUAGACGUUACAUGUAUCACUACGUAUUGAUAACCAAACUUAAUAAACCUACGAAGUCAACAGUCUGUACGUACACGUCUCUCAACUCCGAAACUUUAAUCUAUUAUAUAGAUUACUUAUACGUACAAAUAAGUACCUUGAUACGAGGUAGACAAACUAGUUAAACAAGCUACGUAUACGAGUAAGUACACAACAGUAUCACUGAACGGACGCGAGUGACAACUAGCGUUUCUUCACUCAACCAGGUCUUUAACGUCGACUCUACCUCGAGCCGUCCUACCGAUCUGUCCGGAUCGAACCAUAAUCAGAAGAGAUUUUAAAAUACAUCUUCAAAAAAGGAUCUAGGUUCAUGUAACAUAGUAAUAAAACGUCCACACUAGGUGUCUUCUCUAGUGUAAAAUAUACUAAUAUUAAAUAAAUGAGUACAAGGAUGAUUUACAAAAAAAUCGUUUCAAGUAUGAUUUACAAUUUUCCCAGUUAGGUGUUCGAACAGACUAGGGGCCAAGUAAAAACUUGAUACAGGUGCACAAGAUAGUUCCUAGUAAAACAGCGUAUACCUUUACUGUUCGUUUAAAAAAUGGUCUUAAUAGUAUAAACAUUCCAGCUAGUGGGUACCCAAGACGUGAAGUUAUCUUUAUUAAACAUCGGAACUGGACUA
rnacentral:rRNA from 1 species